rnacentral:tRNA from 1 species
UGAGAUAUGGUGUAAUGGUAACACAACAGAUUUUGGUUCUGUUAUUCAAGGUUCGAGUCCUUGUGUCCCAA